UACGGGGGGGGCAAGCGUUGUUCGGAAUUACUGGGCGUAAAGGGCUCGUAGGCGGCCAACUAAGUCCGACGUGAAAUCCCAAGGCUUAACCUUGGAACUGCGUCGGAUACUGGAUGGCUUGAAUUCGGGAGAGGGAUGCGGAAUUCCAGGUGUAGCGGUGAAAUGCGUAGAUAUCUGGAGGAACACCGGUGGCGAAGGCGGCAUCCUGGACCGGCAUUGACGCUGAGGAGCGAAAGCCAGGGGAGCAAACGGG
rnacentral:rRNA from 1 species